rnacentral:rRNA from 1 species
GGCCGNUCGUUUUACACGCCUACCACACUGCACGUCGACACCGGCCGCCACGGACGACGCUGCUCUCUGGGUGGCGACGUGGCGGACCGGGUGACGGACACUACCACUCGGACACUCUACCUCUGGUCGUGGGGGACUACCCGUACGGGGACACACCCUAUAACCGCUAACACUACCCGCACUACCGACCCUACCGGGUAGACACACGCACGGGGACUACCUAUACCGGACCCUAUGCGCGACUAUAGACACUCGACGCCGACUAGUCGGGACUUACGCUAACGUAUAGGCGGGGUACACACGGGGCCCACCCACACGGGCGACCGAA